AUGGUCAAUGACUUCAAUCUCUUAAAUACUUAAAGAGACUCGACAAAAUAUCAGUAAAAAUUUUUGGGGAAGGCAGAAGAUAAACAAGAUGUCCUGAAACUUGUGUUCCAUUGCAGCUAGCCACACAUCCUGAGCCCAGUGGUGCACAAGAGGGCCAGAUUUGCUGCUGUACAGAGGGAGUGCAGGCCACAAAUUGAGAUUUUCCUUUGGCUUAAGCAGAAACUUUAUUUUAAAACAAGCAAAAAAAAAAAAUUGAAAAAGGAAGAAAAUCUCUGAGCUUUUCUUCCUUAGGCACUUCUGCCUAUCACUUCUGUUCUCAGGAUCAAGGACAUGCACAGAAACCUCAGCAGACUAGUGGAACACGGUCAACAUCAUUCACAGGUCAGUCACUGUGGCUGCCUUUAAAACCACAACAUCAGUAACAGCAGCACAGUGCUCCACGUGGGCCCAAUCAAGCCAUUCCAAAGCUGGUUUCCAAAUAAAGGGGAGCAAACCCAGCCUUGUGAUUAGGUGAGCUGCACCAGCUCUGGUGGGAAUUGUCCACAGGUGGCUUCAGGGAGGAGCAAAACCCCAGUGCUAAUAUGAACCACUUCCAAGGGAGUAGCAGUAGGGUGGUUUUAUUUUCCUUGGCUUGGGGCUGUACUAGCUCAGGAGACUUUUAGCAGGACUUUUUGGUGCAUGCACAUGGGAGUUUUUCUGUUUGGUUUUUUUUUUGGUUUUUUUUUUCUUUGUGGGAGGGAAGGCUGCAGGAUGGUUUGUUCUCUAGCUAACACACUAUAGAGCAAAUAUACACCUAUGUUCUAUGUAAAUAUUAAUAGAAUUAUUUGCCAGAAUGUUUCUUUUUUUUAUUUUUCUCUUUCUAAGAGGGAGGCAAAACAAACAUUUAUUUUUCUAAAACCUGUAAAUUUUUGAGGCACUCUUUUCUCCAUACAGUUGUGAAUCCCUGUGGACUCUUGAGUGUUUUCUCCUGGAAGUGAAUUUUCUGCUCAGUGGCUGCAGUUAUUCCAGCAGGAAAGCAUGGAAAGCCUUUUGGUGCCUAAAAUAAGGAGUUUUCUCUUCCUGGUCUGGAUGAGCAGUAAUGCUAGCUUAAUGAACCAUGGUCUAAUGUUUUUUUUUAAUUCUUUUAGAGAUGUUCUGACCACACAUCCACUCCAAUGGCUCUUAGUGGAAUAAGAUUUAUGAAUCAUCGAGUUGCCCAAAGCCUUUUGGGAAGGGACCCUGUAAAAAAAACAGAGUUCCAAUAUGUCUGUGAAGCCUGAGCAUUGUACCCAGGACGGUGGCAAGCCUGCCUGCAGUGGCAGAACCACUGCAUAUGUGUGGGUCUUGCACAGGGAUGCUCCCAGCACUGACUACAGCCUCCUCAUCACAAGUAGAGUGCUGCAGGCUUUCCAGGAAACUACUUGCUGGUCUGGUUCCUAUGUCUUGUAAGAAGGAAAAUGUGUGCAACUGGGUUUUCCCCUCGUCACUGAAAAGCCAAAGGCAACAGAGUGGUCAGUUACUGGGAGAGCCACACCAAAAGCACUUGAAAGUCUGGGCAGAAAAAUGUUAGAAAGGCAGCUGGAAAAGCAAACAGAAGAAUUACACCUUGUCACUGAAGUGAAGGCAGAAUGAACCUUGAGGCUGACUUGUUGCCUGGUAGCUGCAGAAUCUUGUGGUUGGUGCUAAUGCCCAUUUUGUUGUUGGCCAAUGACAUGGCUCAGGUGGGAAAAUUGAUCAGCAUAAAAAACCUGCUCUCUCAUUUUGGCUGGGGGACUGAAAAAGUUCAAUUGCAAAGGGGAAAUGACAGAAGGGUUUUGAUGGGUGUCUGGCAUCCAGCCAGGGGCAAUUCAGCAACUUGCUGUGAAAUGCAAUGACCCUGCUCACCAGGCCCUCAGUGUAUUUGCUCCUCACAUACCCAGUGGUCUUCAGAAGGGGCAAGCCAGGAAGCAAAUGGAGAAUGAGCAGCAGCACAUGACUGCUAUAGGCCUGACCAUGGAGAUGCAGCACAAAGCGAUGUAAUGUGCAGUGAAUUACUCAAAUUCCUGAAGACUAGACACUCAGCAGGGUAGCUGAGUGCAGAAGAAGGCAAGGUUGGAUGAGCACUGGUGUUGCAGCAGUCACUCAAGGAAGGUUUCUGCUUUUAAAGAUGUUUUCCAAAAGUUGCUGAGCUUCUAGGACCCCAUGGGCUGCUGCCACGCUGAGGAGCUUCUCCACUUCCCUGAAGGACAUGAAAGAUUCCUCAAGAAAAUAUAGGAGCAAGUCCUAAAUUCAUUCCUAGCUAAAUUUUAACUACACAGGCUUUUUUAGAAGGAACACAGCUACUGGAUAUGAAAACAUCUGUAAAGUUAACUCUUCCCCUAUUCAGAAAAUUAUCUGAUUUUCCUUCUGCUUUUUCCUGUGGUCUGAGCACAUAUGUUCUAGGUUUAGUGAUUUUCUCAUCUUAAUUGAAGGAGAAAUGGUUUUGGAGAUCUUAAAAUACCACCCAAUAUGUGAGUCUGAUCAUGCAAUAUGCAGUGGAGACUCAAACAAAAUGCACUGGCUUCAAAUCACAAGGUUUGUCUAAACAAUGCUUUUUUUAGCUUCAUUUAGUGUACAACUGCUCUAUCCAACCUCAGUUUUAAUUUUCAGGCCUGAAGCAAAUGAAAACAAUCUAAAUGAAACAAUUACAGGAAACAAUAAAUGAAAUCAAAAAAGAGCUGGGUUUCACUGUGAUGGGAUCAGUUUCCUCAGCUUCACUUAGCCCUAGGACAAGUUGCCUUGUGACUGUACGAAGCACAAGGUAGGGCUGCAUUACUGACAAUACAAAAAGAGGGCAUCAGAAAUGCUGGCGUGGCUUUGUGCAUGGAGUACCUACAGCACCAGGUUUGCCCCCCUCCCCAGGAGGAGCUGAGAAUGAAGCUGUAGUAGAAGGAAGAGGAUCAUCUCAGGUUACCCUUCUUCAAGUGCCACGGUCAUGUUUCGGAGUGUCCCCAGCGCCAGGUUGAAGGAGGAGUGGGGAUGGCCCUGCCCCGCAGCCUGCCUACGGCCAGGAGGAGACAAGCACAGAAAAUGUGAGAAGAAAGGAGGCCUAUGCAUGACAAAAGGCAGGUGCACAAAUUGCUGGAGUGCACUGAUCCCAGCUCCAGAAGAUGGUACCACAGCUGUUGCUUGGCUGCCCACCAUUUGAAAAUGCAUCUACAAGCAUCUACAUCUAGUCCUGUACAAGCAGAGACAUUAGCAAAAAUGUCCUCCACUGUGGUUACAUCUGAAUUCAGGUAAAUAUUGUGCUAUUUUAAGUGUCUCCAAGACUAAGAGAGGAGGGAAACACAGCUGCUGGUGGAUAGGGGGUUGCUUUGAAGUAAGGUCUGCCUGGAGAAGGGAUGAAGGAAGGAGAUGCAAGUCCCCUCGGCUUCUUCCUUUUUCAGCCCUUUGCCCUCACAGCCAGCAGCAGGGACUACAGGCACCAAGAGCUCCUCAGGGACCCCAGCUGGGCAACAAAUAUUAGUCUACUUCAAAUGGGGAGCCUGCUGCAUUGCACGCAGAGCUGUGAAGUAGAUCACUGCUGUGAAACAACCUUUGUAGUCUUGAGUGUCACCUCUCAGUUGCUCAUCACACCCUUUUCUGUGGUGACUCAUCAGAAACUACUUUGCAUGCUUGGAACCCUGCAUCCUUAGGGCAGCUCUAAAGCAUGGGGAAACCCAAUGCUGUUGUUAGGGCUCUGCUGGGGAAGCAGGCAGUGAGGGAGACAAAUGAGGCUGUGCAUAUGUAUUUAUGCAACCCAGUUCCUAUAUACCACCCACGUGCCAAAGCCAGGUGAACAGGACCAAAAUGAUGACUGAGAGGAAUGCCUAAAAAUCCCACCCAUAAUCACUGCACGUGAAGAUGCCAUAUUACUGUGUGCUAGCAAAAGCCUCUGCUCCCCAAGCUGAGAAAGGCAUUGCAAGCCUUGCACUUUGGAGGGGCAGCUGUGAGCAAGCAGCUCCUGUGGCUCUGACCCACUCUGGCACCAGCGGCUUUCAGAGGCAGGGUGUGACAUAACACCUGCUGCCAGCACUCCCAUCCUGAGCCCAGCCCCACACUUACCUCCCAGCUGCUCCAUGCCGAGCUCGGGGGCUGGGGGUUCCCACCUCCCAGGGGAGGAUUUGCCCCCCAGGUAUCAGCUCUGCCCCUUCCCUGCCGUCGCCACCGCGCUGCAGCCUUCGUGUCCCCCAUCUCUCCCUGCCGCAGCAAGUCCGAGCACCUCUUUUAAGCUGCUCUCUGUCUCUCAGCAGGCACCACCACUGCCCUGCCAUAACUCUUAUCCAUCACCAGCCCUUGGUUUUGUUCCUGAUUUACAGCAGCAGUAGCCCAGCUGCUUCACUAAGAUAACAGGGAUGGAUACACAUCCCCUUGAAGAGUCACAGAAAAGAAGCCCCUGACAAAAGCCUUUCAAAGCACCAAUGUUUAACUCUCCCUGUGCUGAGUAUUUCUCUUCUUUCAGACUGCUCCCAGGUGUUGCAAGGCCUUAUCAGUAAUUUGUUACAUUUGACAAACUUGUUUACAUUUUUUUCUGCUUUUUACAUGCAUGGAUGUAGGACAAAUGCAAGACCAUGCAGGCCCAGGCUGAGGUGAGAAAAUUAGAAAAGAUGCAAUGAUGUACAAUCAAAAGUUGUCAGAACACACAAUGCCCCCCCUCUAAAUUUGACAGGAUGGGAGGGGUUUUUUAAGCUAGAAAAGAGCUCACUUGUUAAAGUCAAUCAUUUUAUAGCUGUGCAAUUACGCCUCUAUUCAUCUGCAGUAACUUCACCCAGUGAAUUCCACAUGCUAAAUUCUGUUUUGCUUUCACAACUAAGAAAAAAAACCCUUUUUAACACAAGAUCUCUAAAGCAUUUUAUCUUUCCUGCUCUGAAGACUUAGCAGAGGAUCUUAACCAGAUGGCAGCCAGGCAAGGUCCAUCUCGAGUGAAAUGCUGACCUUGCCUGGUGUCCUGACCACAAAAAAUAAAAUGUUUUUCUUUCCAAUUUUCCAGGAAGAUAAGUGCUGUGCUUUGGUUUUAAUGGCCCCACCCCCAGAGAACAAGGAUACCACUUUGGUGAUGAUGACUCAGCCUAAAAAGCCUUAGUGAAGAAGAAACCCUUUAUAUUUUCCUAUUUUAUUUCUUAUGUUAUGCUGCCACCAUUGGGACAAUUUCAUUUGGUCAGUAACAGCCCCUUUACAGUUGAAGAGAUUCAUCUUUAUAGCCCUGGCCAAAGUGUGACUCAUUUUCACAGUAUAUCAAAUUUAAUUGGGCAGUAAUAGUCAUACUGCAAGAUCAAAUGCUUCCAAGUACAAAUGUCUGCAUUAAGGAGACUUGGAAAUUUCCAAAACAAGUCCAUAACAAAAGGCCCUUCACUGCAGCAAACAGUAAAGAAGAGAUGAAACAAGGUGAGGAGUCUACUUACCUACUUGCCUUUUUUUUCUUAUUUAGGGGCAAUUUAAAGAUAAAUGAAAAAGAAAAAAAAUACAGCAAAGCCAGCCUCUCUGGGAGUUACUUUUCUUGGGAAUGAGAUGUCCUUAGCUAUAAUCCCAAAUUUUGGCAGAAGUGAACUCCUGAGUUAAUCUUGUUGUUGUUUGUAAAGGUGUGUCAGUAACAAUUUUUUUCCCCUUUGACCUAUGACCCUUCCCCUUUGAUCCUUGACCCUUACAUUUUACCCCUUAUCCUUGGCCCCCAGCUUUUGACCCCUGGCUCUGCAGUGUCCUGUGACCCCAAACCCUGGUGUGUAACCUCAGCCCCCAUCCCCUGCCUGUCACUGCAGCCUGUAGGUGCCAUCCCUACCUUUGUGGGGUGCUCCUGUCCUCCUGUGAGGGUUCUGGUGUUAGCCUGGUGUUAUGAUUGUUCCUGCUGCUGCUGCCAUGAGGGCAAAAAUGGCAUCCUUAGGGCAGUGCCACUUUCUACUGCUGUUUUUUAAUUUUAAACUAGAGAGAAAAAUUACAGUCUGGUUUAAACACAGAAGAGCAGAGGAGACUAGGUCUUGGCAAUAAAAGCAGAUCAAAUGCAGAAAGGUUUGAAAUACACCCAAAAAACAUGAUUAAAACCAAAUAAGGUUAGAUGUUGGUGCCAAAACAUAGAUAUGUUUUAUUUAAUAAAGAGGGAGGAAGGAAAGGAGAGAGUGACAGGGGUUAGGUGGAAAGGUAUCACCCUUCUGGGGGUCCUGACAACAUCUUGUUUCUCCACCCAAUCUGGUCUUCUUGGUGGUGAGGGUGCCCCACCACUAGGGCCACACUGAAAAGUCCAGAAUCCAGUUUUGUGCUGACACCUUGACUCACUCUGUGAAACUGGUAAGUUCUCAGUAGAAGACAGGCCCUGGACCUUGCAGUUCUUUGUUGCAGAUGACUAAAAAUGAGAACGUGUUAUUAUUAAUUUUGUGCUAUUCAGUGAGGCCUAGGCUGUCUGUGUCACAAGUUAGGUGUGGUACAGGAUCUCAUUCCAGUUGUGAUCUUCAGUUACUUCUGUACAGAACCCAACUUACACCAUGAGGAAGAAAUGAUAGCUGUGGUAGCUGCCUCCUACCACCUAAGAAGAGCUGGAUCCUUUCUACUUGCAAUGACUUCGGCAAGGAAAGAGUUAAGCCCCCCAGUGAAUUUUCUCUCCACACUUCCAAAAGGCAGGUGGCAUUUCUUUUUUCCCUGCAUUUUCACAGAAAGUUGUGUAGAACCAUUUCCAGCUCCUGCAAGAGAGCAUUUUGUUUGAAACAUGAAAAAAGCCAUCUUCAGGAAAAUGCCAUUUUCUUCCUUUUUUUUUUUUUCAUGUUUUCCACGUUGCUUUCUUAGGCAAAGAAACUGGUAUAACGAAUUUUCUAGAGCUGGCAAAAGCCUAUUUGAUUACAAUGCCCUCGGGACAUAGGUAUCACAAGGCAAAUUAGAUUCAUCCAGAGCUCCCCAACUUGAACACAAUUGGAGUAAGUGCUUGCAAAUGACUUCGUAGCCAACACAAAAUACCAUGUAAAUACAGCUUCAAUUGCUAUAUUGAACAGAGCUCAGCUAGGAGGAAGGGGGAGGACCAAAGCGAACAGCAAAAAAGAGUGUUGAGGGGUAAGUUUUUGUGUAAGACAGUGGGAAGGAAGAGGUCAAGGAGUUCUGGCUGUCACCAUCUCUGACAGACUCAUUUCACCUUGCCGAACUAGCUGUAGUUCCCUUUCAGAGCUGGCUAAACAAAAACAAGAUAAAAAUCGAUACAGACUAGUCAUUGUGACACUAUUAAUAGCAAAUACAAGGGUGUACCAUGAACAACUGUGUGGAUAUAGGGGUUGUUCAAGUCUUUCUGAAAUCAGUAUGCAAGUGUUAUCUGCACAACUAUUGCAGAGACUUGUAUUUUGUUACAAGUAUAGAAAUUCAUCAGAAAAUAAACCCUCCUGCUUUCCAGUUGGUCCUCAGAGGGUCUGGGUGCAGCUAGGUAUAUACAUUUUUUAUUACAACCAAUUCAGCACUCUAAGUUCAGUUGCAUUCAGCAAGAUCCCAGAGGAACCAAUACUGUGGGUCUCAUUCACAAUCAGAAAUUCAGAAAUAGUGCAGCUUACCAAUGAGACACUGUAAGUCUGGUUGGGUUCAGAAGAACUUGCAUGAACACAGACUUACCAAAAGUGCAGUUUAUUGGAACAACAGAUUGUAGAUUCUUACAGAUUGGCAGUGAUGGAUUCACUAGAUGUGCAAAAUAUAAAUAUAUAGUAGUAUGUACAAGUGUUUCCAGGUAUGCUCUAGAGGUGCAAAUCUUACCAAAGAGGGAUCCCAGCUUUGGGGAAGGAGAGAGGAGUAAACCCUUUGACUUGUCUGCAAAGUGGUAUUCUUAAACUCUGCCACAGAGGAUUUCAAAUACCAAAUCACAUUUUUUUGGAGAAGCAGAAGUGAGAAUGUAGUCAAAUAUUCUGUUAGCUGCUGUCACAAAGGGGAGGGGUAGAUGCUUUAUACCUAAAUGAGGAAUACUGAGAAUUACAAAAAGAGAGAUCACAAAGGCUGUAUGUCUUGGGCAAGGGCAGAACAGGACUGUGAUACCUGAGGACUGUGACACCUCCCUCUUCCAGGUGGAUUGCAGCGAUGAGAAUCACCUACAACCCAUAGAUAAAAUAACCUAUCACCCCUAGGGCAGGUCACCAUGCCCUCUCGCCACAUAUCUCACACCACAUCUCAUUCCUACAAAGUGUGAAGCUGUUUAGAGAUAACAGACUAAUAGAUAUAUCUGUUAAGCUGAACAAUUGAAUCCAUUCAUCACUACAAACAAUGCAGCAGUGCAGCCACAGAGGGUGGGAUUUUCCUGAACCAAAUACAGCAGCCAGCAGGGAGACCCAGCAGAGCAGAACCCUGUUAUUUGAUAGAGAUCCUGGAAAAGGGAACAUGGGAAGCCCUCUGCAAAGGGAAAGAAUCCUGGGGGCAAAUACAAGUCAUACGGGAAUUCA